GGCACGGCUCGCUACUUACUUUGUAAAAGAUCAUUUUUAAAGUGCCGUAGAAGCCCAUGUUUGCCGGUGCUGGUGUCUCCGCACUAGGUCCCUGCUCAGCGGCUUGUGGUGGAGGAGAGCCCGUAUCCAGUAACUAGCUGGGUACCAAACCGUGUCAAUACAUGCCUUCAAGAUCUUCCCAGACCUGCAGUGAAUGGAGACGGCUGAAUAAGAGAGUGCUGGUGCAGUUGCACAUGGAAGCCUGAGAAGCCUUAUAUGUCUCCUGCCAACAUCUUGCGGAUGAUUUGACACACUUUGGCAUGGAUGGGUUAACUAGCACGUACUGCUCCUCCUAGCCCCAGGGAUGUGGCUGUCUGGAGAAGGCUGAACACCCUCACAGAUCUGGAGGAAUUUCGGGCAUGCAGAGGUCACACCAUGUUCUUUGAAGCCUCAGUAACCUAUGAUCAUUACCCUUGUGGUGUACACUUACCAACCAUUGAGGUCUUCCUCUAGUGUAGGAGAAUUACUAGUGUAGACUAACCCUAAGCAGGUGUCAGCAGGACAAGCAGUUUCACACACAUACUUAUUUCCAUGUGACGGGAAAAGACUAUUUACGUGCCUAACAUCUGCAUAAGCUCCACACUGAAAUGUGUUUAGUCUAGUUCGGUCAAAAGUGUUGCAAAUCAUCAAUUCCAUUUUCUUAGUGCAGAUCCAUUCUAUUCCAUCAAUGUACGGCAGAAACCGAUAUGAAGGCUAGGACUUCCUUCAUUCAGGGUUUACUUUGGUUUAUGAUAUCUUAGCUGGAGCCUCAUAAAAAAAGAAGGGGUUCUAAGAAAUAUUACUAGGCCUACUUCUAUGAGAAAUGCCUUUCGGUUGUUUCCAUUGAAAUGAAUGAUUAAAAGCCUUCAAAAGAAUGUAACAUCUGGCGGCUGUAUGAGACCUGAUACACAAACAGGCCAUAUGGGUGAAGGGAGACGUGAAUUAUUGGUAGGGGUGGUCUUGGACAGUCCGUUACUAUGCAGUGAUUUAGGGCUUAGAAAACACCGACCAUACAACAAUUACAACACUUGUAGCCCUUUUGUCUGACAUGGUUUCCCCUUUCAUAAGUUACCCAACUCUCCAAAACAUUGCACAUAACUAUACAUGUAAUCUAAUAUUAUGCAGUAUGUUUGAGAUGUACAAAAAAAACAAUAAAAAUAUAGG